rnacentral:sRNA from 1 species
GCUGGACAUGGUAGCACAAGUCUGUAAUCCCAGUGGCUCAGGAGGCUGAGGCAGGAGAAUCGCAAGUUCAAAGCCAGGCUCAGGAACUUAGCAAUGCACUAAGCAACUCAGUGAGACCCUGUCUCUA